rnacentral:rRNA from 1 species
GACGAACGCUGGCGGCGUGCCUAAUACAUGCAAGUAGAACGCACAGGAUGCACCGUAGUUUACUACACCGUAUUCUGUGAGUUGCGAACGGGUGAGUAACGCGUAGGUAACCUGCCUGGUAGCGGGGGAUAACUAUUGGAAACGAUAGCUAAUACCGCAUAAUAUUAAUUAUUGCAUGAUAAUUGAUUGAAAGAUGCAACUGCAUCACUACCAGAUGGACCUGCGUUGUAUUAGCUAGUAGGUGAGGUAACGGCUCACCUAGGCGACGAUACAUAGCCGACCUGAGAGGGUGAUCGGCCACACUGGGACUGAGACACGGCCCAGACUCCUACGGGAGGCAGCAGUAGGGAAUCUUCGGCAAUGGACGAAAGUCUGACCGAGCAACGCCGCGUGAGUGAAGAAGGUUUUCGGAUCGUAAAGCUCUGUUGUAAGAGAAGAACGGGUGUGAGAGUGGAAAGUUCACACUGUGACG